AGAUUGAACGCUGGCGGAACGCUUUACACAUGCAAGUCGAACGGUAACAGCGAGGAAAGCUUGCUUUUUUCGGCUGACGAGUGGCGAACGGGUGAGUAAUACAUCGAAACGUGUCCGCUCGUGGGGGACAACCAUCCGAAAGGAUGGCUAAUACCGCAUGAGUUCUACGGAAGAAAGAGGGGGACCUGCUUGCAGGCCUCUCGCGAGCGGAGCGGCCGAUGACUGAUUAGCCGGUUGGUGAGGUAACGGCUCACCAAAGCAACGAUCAGUAGCUGGUCUGAGAGGACGACCAGCCACACUGGGACUGAGACACGGCCCAGACUCCUACGGGAGGCAGCAGUGGGGAAUUUUGGACAAUGGGCGCAAGCCUGAUCCAGCUAUUCCGCGUGUGGGAUGACGGCCCUCGGGUUGUAAACCACUUUAGUAGAGAACGAAAAGGAGCUAUCGAAUAAAUAGCUCUGCUGACGGUACUCUAAGAAUAAGCACCGGCUAACUACGUGCCAGCAGCCGCGGUAAUACGUAGGGUGCGAGCGUUAAUCGGAAUUACUGGGCGUAAAGGGUGUGCAGGCGGCUGAGUAAGACAGAUGUGAAAUCCCCGGGUUUAACCUGGGAACCGCAUAUGUGACUGCUUGGCUAGAGUGCGUCAGAGGGAGGUGGAAUUCCACGUGUAGCAGUGAAAUGCGUAGAUAUGUGGAA
rnacentral:rRNA from 1 species